rnacentral:rRNA from 1 species
GACGUAGGGGGCAAGCGUUGUCCGGAAUCAUUGGGCGUAAAGCGCUCGUAGGUGGAUCGGUAAGUCUGCAAAGAAAGACCCGGGCUCAACUCGGGGAACGGUGUGGAUACUACCGAUCUUGAGGCAAUCAGAGGAUGAUGGAAUUCCCGGUGUAGCGGUGAAAUGCGCAGAUAUCAGGAGGAACACCGGUGGCGAAGGCGGGUCUCUGGGCCGGUACCGACGCUGAGGAGCGAAAGCGUGGGGAGCGAACAGG